rnacentral:rRNA from 1 species
CCUACGGGAGGCAGCAGUGAGGAAUAUUGGACAAUGGGCGCAAGCCUGAUCCAGCCAUGCCGCGUGCAGGAAGACGCAUCUAUGGUGUGUAAACUGCUUUUGUACAGGAAGAAACACUCCCUCGUGAGGGAGCUUGACGGUACUGUAAGAAUAAGGAUCGGCUAACUCCGUGCCAGCAGCCGCGGUAAUACGGAGGAUCCAAGCGUUAUCCGGAAUCAUUGGGUUUAAAGGGUCCGUAGGCGGUUUAAUAAGUCAGUGGUGAAAUCUGGUCGCUCAACGAUCAAACGGCCAUUGAUACUGUUAGACUUGAAUUAUAAGGAAGUAACUAGAAUAUGUAGUGUAGCGGUGAAAUGCUUAGAUAUUACAUGGAAUACCAAUUGCGAAGGCAGGUUACUACUUAUGGAUUGACGCUGAUGGACGAAAGCGUGGGGAGCGAACAGGAUUAGAUACCCUGGUAGUCCACGCCGUAAACGAUGGAUACUAAGCUGUUGGGCGCAAGUUCAGUGGCUAAGCGAAAAGUGAUAAGUAUCCCACCUGGGGAGUACGUUCGCAAGAAUGAAAACUCAAAAGUAGAAAGUUGGACGNGUGAGACGUCGACCGGAAGGACACACGGAGGGGUUAGAGGG